UGCAGUCGAACGAGAAGUACAGUAGCAAUACUGUAUUGUAAAGUGGCGCACGGGUGAGUAACACGUGGGUAAUCUGCCCUCGAGUUUGGGAUAACCCCGCGAAAGCGGGGCUAAUACCGGAUAAGACCACGGAGACCAAAGUCUCUGAGGUAAAAGGUGGCCUCUAUUUAUAAGCUACCACUUGAGGAUGAGCCCGCGGCCCAUUAGCUAGUUGGCAGGGUAACGGCCUACCAAGGCAAUGAUGGGUAGCUGGUCUGAGAGGACGAUCAGCCACACUGGAACUGAGACACGGUCCAGACUCCUACGGGAGGCAGCAGUGGGGAAUAUUGCGCAAUGGGCGAAAGCCUGACGCAGCAACGCCGCGUGGGGGAUGAAGGUUCUCGGAUUGUAAACCCCUUUCGAUCGGAACGAAUCCCCUCCUGGUAAAUAAUCAGGAGGAUCGACGGUACCGAGAGAAGAAGCCACGGCUAACUCUGUGCCAGCAGCCGCGGUAAGACAGAGGUGGCUAGCGUUGUUCGGAUUUAUUGGGCGUAAAGCGCACGCAGGCGGUUUGGUAAGUCAGAGGUGAAAGCCCACGGCUUAACCGUGGCAUUGCCUUUGAUACUGCCUUUCUUGAGUAGAGUA
rnacentral:rRNA from 1 species